rnacentral:rRNA from 1 species
AUUGAACGCUGGCGGCAGGCCUAACACAUGCAAGUCGAGCGGAUGAAGGGAGCUUGCUCCUGGAUUCAGCGGCGGACGGGUGAGUAAUGCCUAGGAAUCUGCCUGGUAGUGGGGGAUAACUUCCGGAAACGGGCGCUAAUACCGCAUACUUCCUGAGGGAGAAAGUGGGGGAUCUUCGGACCUCACGCUAUCAGAUAAGCCUAGGUCGGAUUAGCUAGUUGGUGGGGUAAAGGCCUACCAAGGCGACGAUCCGUAACUGGUCUGAGAGGAUGAUCAGUCACACUGGAACUGAGACACGGUCCAGACUCCUACGGGAGGCAGCAGUGGGGAAUAUUGGACAAUGGGCGAAAGCCUGAUCCAGCCAUGCCGCGUGUGUGAAGAAGGUCUUCGGAUUGUAAAGCACUUUAAGUUGGGAGGAAGGGCAGUAAGUUAAUACCUUGCUGUUUUGACGUUACCAACAGAAUAAGCACCGGCUAACUUCGUG